AAUCUUUUGUUAGAAGCCGUCCAGAGUGGCUGGGGAAAUUAUUAUUAUUAUUAUUACUAUUAUUAUUAUUAUCACCCCGCCCACUCUGGACGGCUUCCAACAAAAGAUUA